rnacentral:rRNA from 1 species
GACGAACGCUGGCGGCGUGCUUAACACAUGCAAGUCGAACGGAAAGGCCCUGCUUUUGUGGGGUGCUCGAGUGGCGAACGGGUGAGUAACACGUGAGUAACCUGCCCUUGACUUUGGGAUAACUUCAGGAAACUGGGGCUAAUACCGGAUAGGAGCUCCUGCUGCAUGGUGGGGGUUGGAAAGUUUCGGCGGUUGGGGAUGGACUCGCGGCUUAUCAGCUUGUUGGUGGGGUAGUGGCUUACCAAGGCUUUGACGGGUAGCCGGCCUGAGAGGGUGACCGGCCACAUUGGGACUGAGAUACGACCCAUACUCCUACGGGAGGCAGCAGUGGGGAAUAGUGCACAAUGGGCGGAAGCCUGAUGCAGCAACGCCGCGUGCGGGAUGACGGCCUUCGGGUUGUAAACCGCUUUCGCCUGUGACGAAGAGUGAGUGACGGUAAUGGGUAAAGAAGCACCGGCUAACUACGUG